CGUGAUCGCUUUAUCCUACUAUUUAUAUGUAAAUCGUAUACGAAUUGGAAAAUACUCGGAUUACCCAAACGCAAAUCUCACACAAUUUUGCAAAAUCCAAAAAAAAAUUAACCAAAAAGAAGGCAAUGGAAACGGUUAUGGAAGACGAAGAGUACAAUUGGAGCGAAGUGAAGCUUCAUUCUCUCAUACCCAUAGUGCCGGAGCCGGAGCUCGAUAGGGAAACCGGCGAACGGCGUCGCGGCCGUGAUAUAGUGAUCGCUAUAGAUCACGGUCCUAAUAGCAAACACGCUUUUGAUUGGGCCGUUACUCACCUUUGCCGUCUCGCCGAUACGCUUCAUCUCGUUCACGCCGUCUCCAGUCUGAAAAAUGAGAUAGUUUAUGAGGCUACGCAAGGACUCAUGGAGAAGCUUGCUGUUGAGGCUUUUUCGGUUGCUAUGGUGAAGACAGUGGCUAGGAUUGUGGAAGGAGAUGCUGGAAAGGUAAUUUGCAAGGAAGCAGAAAGGUUGAAGCCUUCAGCUGUGGUUAUGGGAACCAGGGGACGUGGCAUAAUUCAAAGUGUACUGCAAGGAAGUGUCGCUGAGUAUUGCUUACACAACUGUAAGAUAGCACCGGUCAUCAUAGUUCCUGGAAAAGAAGCUGGGGAAGUCUCUGUGAUUUAAUCGAGCUUUCAAAGUUUGAGGAACUUACUCUGAAUUGAUGUCCAUCCAAGUAAUGCUGAUUGGUAUGAUAUAAUGGCAGCAGCUGUAUUACUAGUGGCAGGUUCUUCCUUUAUAAUGUCCGUGCUUAUAUAAAAAGCUUAUGCUAUCAUUGAUGUAAAGUAUUUUUAUCUGGUUUUAAAUUGUGCUUAUUUUAGGUCUUCAGUAUUUAAGUUUGUUUAUAAUACCAAUUUAUAUUGUGAAAAGUUGCUGAUAGCAGUGAAAAAACUCAUCUAUAUACACUUUGGAUAAUGUUCCUUAGAGAUUGAUGACUUACCAUUUGUGCUG
rnacentral:misc_RNA from 1 species